GCACCAGUAGUCUAGUGGUAGAAUAGUACCCCGCCACGGUACAGACCCGGUUUCGAUUCUUGGCUGGUGCA
rfam:Ipomoea nil DNA, scaffold: scaffold3100, cultivar: Tokyo-kokei standard.